AGGGCACCACCAGGAGUGGAGCCUGCGGCUUAAUUUGACUCAACACGGGAAAUCUCACCAGGCCCGGACACCGGAAGGAUUGACAGAUUGAGAGCUCUUUCUUGAUUCGGUGGGUGGUGGUGCAUGGCCGUUCUUAGUUGGUGGAGCGAUUUGUCUGGUUAAUUCCGAUAACGAACGAGACUCUGGCCUACUAACUAGACGUUGGAUCCCUUUGUGGGUCCAUCGCAGCUUCUUAGAGGGACGGGCGGCGUUUAGCCGCACGAGAUUGAGCAAUAACAGGUCUGUGAUGCCCUUAGAUGUUCUGGGCUGCACGCGCGCUACACUGAAGGAAUCAGCGUGUGUUCCCUAUCCGAAAGGAUUGGGAAGCCCGUUGAACCUCCUUCGUGAUGGGGAUUGGGGAUUGCAAUUAUUCCCCAUGAACGAGGAAUUCCCAGUAGGCGCGAGUCAUAAGCUUACGUCGAUUACGUCCCUGCCCUUUGUACACACCGCCCGUCGCUACUACCGAUCGAGUGAUUUAGU
rnacentral:rRNA from 1 species